rnacentral:rRNA from 1 species
UGGGGAAUAUUGGACAAUGGGCGCAAGCCUGAUCCAGCCAUGCCGCGUGAGUGAUGAAGGCCUUAGGGUUGUAAAGCUCUUUCGUCAGGGAAGCGGUACCUGAAGAAGAAGCCCCGGCUAACUUCGUGCCAGCAGCCGCGGUAAUACGAAGGGGGCUAGCGUUGCUCGGAAUCACUGGGCGUAAAGCGCACGUAGGCGGCUUUCUAAGUCAGAGGUGAAAUCCUGGAGCUCAACUCCAGAACUGCCUUUGAUACUGGAAAGCUUGAGUUCGGGAGAGGUGAGUGGAACUGCGAGUGUAGAGGUGAAAUUCGUAGAUAUUCGCAAGAACACCAGUGCGAAGCGGCUCACUGGCCCGAACUGACGCUGAGGUGCGAAAGCGUGGGGAGCAAACAGGAUUAGAUACCCUUGUAGU